GUUGUUUUGGCCGAGAAGUUAAGGCGAUGGACUAGAAAUCCAUUGGGGUCUCCCUGUGUAGGUUCGAGUCCUACCAGCAACG